rnacentral:ncRNA from 2 species
GACAGAGGUCCCGAGCGUUAGGCGGAAUCACUGGGCUUAAAGCGUGUGUAGGCGGAUGCCUAAGUACCUUGUGAAAUCCCACGGCUCACCCGUGGAACUGCUCGGUAUACUGGGUGUCUUGAGCCACUUAGGGGCUACCGGAACAAAUGGUGGAGCGGUGAAAUGCGUAGAUAUCAUUUGGAACGCCAAUGGUGAAAACAGGUAGCUGGGAGUGUGCUGACGCUGAGACACGAAAGCCAGGGGAGCAAACGGG